UCUGAAACUCUCAAUCUUUUUGUCUGAACCAUGCCCUCUUGAAUGUUAUCCUACUACUUACUGAUGAGCAUCGAAUCCUUUUGUCUGUGUCCAUCUUAUCGUCGUGGUGGUGGUUGAGUACAUCUCUGUAAGUUUUGUAAGUUCAGAGACCGGAAACCGGUAAGUUUAGACAAAAUUUAAACUGUCAAAGAACAUGAGUUUUUGUACAGUUUAGAACAUUGGACCGUGGCUACCCAUUCAAGUAAUCACAAGACCAUCAUGGAUGACAACAGUUUAAACUGUCAUGGAUGAUGCAAGUUGUAUCCGUGUACAUAAUUCUUUAUUUCUAUUGCGACAAGUUCAACUGAUCAAAUGCUACAAGUUUGCGUGUUAUUUUCCAGGCAGUACAAGUGAUCAUUGUUCUUAUUUCUUGACCAUUUUUUUUCCAUAACCUGGACUCUGUAGAGAAGGCAGCGAGUGCUCUUUGUGAUAUUAAUUUGAUCAAAAAUGAACAAGGUGUUGCCAUUUUAACUAAGCCUUCUCCAUUAUUUCUAUGAUACAUUUUGCAUAGAUGAUAGUACAUCUGCAGUUUUUUGUGAAAAGUUGAGACACCGAACUUGUCUACUGCAUGUUGCAUAUCUAGUUAGGUCAGGUUGUACUGUUCACUUAGUAUUAUAUUUUUUGAAACUCACCCAAAAACAAUUGCUGAGAUGUAUUUCAUAGCCUCAUGCCAACAUAACUAUAAAAAUGAACAUUCAGGAGGACUGAGUUCAGUGAAUAUGUGUCGGAAAAGUUCAAUUCAACCGUGCACUUAAGUUCAAUACAGAAUAGAAUAUGGAAUUGGCAACUUAUCCUCCGGCAGCCGGUGAUGCUCCCCUGCCACCACUCUGCCUCCUCCCCAAUGGUGCUACGUCACCACCGCGUACAGGCCGUUCGCCGCCACCACCCCUGUCUGUUCAAUGUCACCGCUGUGGACGUGUCCCACUCCAACACCAUGGCUUAUGCUUCAACGGCAAACAGUGGAGCCUGCUGGAGGAGUCGCGGGGUCGAGGAUCUCCUGCUCAACAGUACAACUUCUUGUUUUGUGGCUGGUCGCUCAAGGAGCUGAGUGCGGGCCGCUCCUUGCUGCAAGCUGCUACUGCGCCUACUACUGUCCAGCACAGCUGCAGCCUUUCUGCUGCUGCUGAUGCAUGCCCCUUGCCCACCGACACCACCUACCUCCGCUGUCGCGACCUCGCCCGGAUCGGCCGCCAUGGGCCCUGCUCCCUCGCCAACCGCCGAUGCACCUGCUCCCAUGGCCGUCGCACCCCUAACCCACCACCACCUCCUCCAGACAGAAAUACCGAUACCGGUCACUCAUGUUGUGUUGCUCGUAGUUGCCAGGGAACCUUCCUCAGCUCUUCCCCUUGACGGCGAGAUACAUCGACCAGCGGCAUGUUUUUCUGUCCGACAAGGUGGCCGGACAGCGCCAACCGGACGUCUGUGUCUGGCCUGACAUGGGACGGCUUCUGGGCAACUGCAGACUAUAAGCAUUAUACUUGUACUGGGCUAGAGUACAAGUAUUACUUCCAGGCAAGUUCAAAAUGAAACCCGCAGCAAGUUCUUUGUUAAUUUAGCAAAUAGGUGAGAGAGAACACUGCCUGAAACCUGUUUGAUGCUUUGUCCAUGAGACUUCAGCGCUUUAAAAAAAAGACAGGAUGUGCACACCUGUUCGUAUAGCAACAAAGAGAAAAAGGCUAGUGCUCCUAGUGAUGCCCAUUAGAAUAUGAAGUGUACGUGCAUCUACUAAUCCUCCCAUCUAAUGUUUUAUUAAUUUUAAUACUGCUCUUCUUUCUCAUGGCUUUAUUUUGAAAUAUACUAGGUUUUUAUGAACUAGUGAUGUUAAAAAAAAUGAUAAGAAAGUUCAGAUGCAAAAAUUUACACAGUACAUUAUAUACGCAAAGAUAAAAAAGGAAGUGUGGAUGUUCACUCUGCAAACCAAAAGUAGUUCUUCCAUGCAGCCUACAUCAGUUCAUGGUUGCGGAAAAACACCAGGAACUUUUACAUCUGCAUAGCAUCCUUUGUCAAUGUUCAUUUGUUUCUUGCUGUUUAUGUUUUAUGUAUGACCAUGGAUCCUUGCUGUUCCCGCUGAGAUAAAAAAUAUGGUGACCUUUAGCAAGCACUGUUGCUCAGCUUUCUAGGUUUAGUUCACUCCAAUUUCUAGUUUCUGUUCAGUUCAAUUCUUAUUUUAUGUUUCAGUUCGGUUCAAUUUUUAUUUUAAGUUGCAGUAUAGUUCAAGUUACGGCAAUGACGGGCGCGUGAAAUCUGUAAUGGCUGCUGCCCCCCUUCUCGCCGAUGUGCGCUGCUCGUUCCCAUCACCGGCGACAUCCCCCCGAGCCCACUUUCCUCCCUACCACCGCCGGUCUGAGAGCCACCGUCUAAAUAUUACUGUGUUUAGUGAUUCAAUGUUCUGUGAGCAGUUACAUGCUUCAUUAACAUGCUAUACAAGGUGACUACUGGAAACACUACUAGACACAAUCAUAUGGAGCAGAUAUAACUCUGAAGAUCUUUUUCGCUGUUGAAUUUGUAAUUUUAAAAUCGUUGCAAACAAUAUGGACCUGAACAUACUACUCGUAAUGUUUUUUUUUUUACUAUAAUACUACUCGUAACGUUGUUGAAAAUCUUUUAAAUUGCCAGCAUAUGGUUGUUACAAACUUCAUGCAGUAGUUCCCCCUUUUAACUUUAUCGGGCUGCUAAUUCUAUUUUGUCUGAAAGUGUUAACUUAUAGGUUCCUUCUUGUUUUGACUAAAUUUCUGCUCUGCACUACUUAGGCUUCCACUUCAGUUAAGAGACGAGCAGUAAGAUACAAGUUGCAGUUCCAGGGCAACCUGUCUCAGACCCUUUUCAGGUUCAGAUUGGGUUUGCAUGCAUUUCAUAGUUGGAUGGCUACUGAUCUCUAUAAAACCUUGGAAGCAGUGCUUGCAUUACUCGUCCAACCAUACUACUUGGGCCGGGGGAGAAGGCAGAACCGAUGGGUGCGUGAUGGAAAAAAAUGCAAGUUCUUGUUUAGAUGUCCAGGAUACCCUUCUCUCAUUUCAUUUAUGUUCAGGAUAGCAGGUGCAUGGUGGAAAAUUGUGUAUCGUGUAGUUCUUAUUUAGAUGUCCAGGAUACCCUUCUCUCAUUUCAUUUAUGUUCAGGAUAGCAGGUGCAUGGUGGAAAAUUGUGUAUCGUGUAGUUCUUGUUUAGAUGUCGUGCAAGUUCAAAAAUUGUCGAUUUUGCUGCUGCA